UGGCACACUCCUGCCCCUGGUGCGCCUGCGCGCGGCAGCCCCGCCCUCGGCGGGGGGGAGCGCGUGAGGGGCCGCGCGUGCGCACAGAGCACCUGGGGCCGGCCGCGGGCCCUCGCUGCUGCCUGCUGCUGUUCCUCAGAGCACUGCAGAAUGUCAGGUCUGCUCGAGAGCGUGAGGUGCUCGGAGUGCGUUGACUGGGGAGAAAAGCGGAACACGAUCGCUUCGGUGGCUGCGGGAGUGCUGGUACGUGCUGCGCUGCCUCUCCUGUGUCGUUCUGCCAGCGAACUGAAAUUCUUUACUGGUUGGUGGAUAAUCAUAGAUGCAGCUGUGAAGUACCCUAAAAUGGAAGACUUCAACCAUUCUUACCAUGCUUGUGGGGUUAUAGCCACAAUUGCUUUCCUAAUGAUCAAUGCAGUGUCUAACGGACAAGUUCGGGGUGACAGUUACAGUGAAGGCUGUCUAGGACAAACAGGUGCUCGGAUUUGGCUGUUCAUUGGUUUUAUGAUGGCUUUUGGAUCUCUGAUUGCCUCUAUGUGGAUCCUUUUUGGAGGCUAUGUUGUUAAAGAAAAAACAGUAGUAUACCCAGGAAUAGCUGUGUUUUUCCAGAAUGCAUUCAUCUUUUUCGGAAUCUUCUGCACAGUGAGGCUGUAGCUCAUGGACCAAAGCCCCUGCUUGUCUCAGCUGAAGUCCUCUGCAAACAGAAACUCCUAAUGAACAUUUAAAUGGAUUUCCAAAACGUGCAGAGCACUGCCCUAACUUCAGAAAAAUCCCAAUGCCGGAACAUUUGCGUUCAGCUCCUUUUUGUGGGAAUUGGACCAUGUGGACAACUCAGACGUUACCAGAACAUCAGGUGAACUUUUUUCUGGAGAAGGGAACCGCUGAAACAUGACAUUAGGAGCUGAUUUGGGUCACUGACGCUGUUUGUGCGAUUUAUGAACGCGACAUAUUUUUCAUCAUUUUCCAGCAAGAAUCGUGCUCAGGCUUUAAGAGUGACUGGGAGCUCCUUCCACCAUUGCACCCCCACCAGAUGAACAGAAACAUAUAUAUAUAUAUUUUUUUUUUUUGAUGUCUGUUACCAAGUCUCCUGGCAGCGUUAACACUCACGGGGAAAAUACUCCAAAAGCUAGGAAUUUAACCGUAUUUUUCCCCCAGGACUCUUCUUAAGAACUACGUACCA